GUUAUCACUUUGGCAGCACUUAUACAAAAAAUGAAGCAAUGUAGAGAAUAUCAGCAUAGCCACUAUGCAAGAAUGACACAAAAAUUUGUGAAGUGUUCCACAUUUAA